CGCGUAGGUGGCCUUCUUAGUCAGACGUGAAAUCCCCAGGCUUAACCUGGGAACUGCGUCUGAUACUGGAAGGCUUGAGUUCGGGAGAGGAAUGUGGAAUUCCAGGUGUAGCGGUGAAAUGCGUAGAUAUCUGGAGGAACACCGGUGGCGAAGGCGGCAUUCUGGACCGAAACUGACGCUGAGGCGCGAAAGCCAGGGGAGCAAACGGGAUUAGAUACCCCGGUAGUCCUGGCCCUAAACGAUGAGUGCUUGGUGUGGCGGGUAUCGAUCCCUGCCGUGCCGAAGCUAACGCAUUAAGCACUCCGCCUGGGGAGUACGGUCGCAAGGCUGAA
rnacentral:rRNA from 1 species